rnacentral:rRNA from 1 species
UGCCAGCCGCCGCGGUAAUACGAAUGUGGCAAGCGUUGUUCGGAAUCACUGGGCUUAAAGGGUGUGUAGGCGGUUUUUCAAGUCGGAUGUGAAAUCCUACGGCUCAACCGUAGAACUGCGUCCGAAACUGUUGAACUUGAGUAUGAAGGAGGAGAGCGGAAUUCUAGGUGUAGCGGUGAAAUGCGUAGAUAUCUAGGAGAAGACCAGCGGCGAAGGCGGCUCUCUAUUUCAAUACUGACGCUGAGACACGAAAGCUAGGGUAGCGAACGGGAUUAGAUA